CACGUGGUUUACCUGUACGAUCACUUCACGGAGGUCCUGCUGCUGCUGGGCGCCUGUUUUUUCCAUGAGGUCUGAUCGCUACACGGUGAGUUGCCAUGCCUGACCUCUGGCUCCCUUGCUGGGAUGUCUACUACUCACGUGAUGCUCAGCCAGCUGGUAUGUGGUCUACCUCGCUCAUGGUGCUCAGGCUACUGGUAUGGUGUAUGCCUCUCUUAUGGUGCUCGGCCAGCUGGUAUGGUGUCUGCCACUCUCAUGGUGCUCAGCCAGCUGGUCUGGUGUUUGCCACUCUCUUGGUGCUCAGCCAGCUGGUCUGGUGUUUGCCAUUCUUAUGGUGCUCAGCCAGCUGGUAUGGUCUCUGCCACUCUCAUGGUGCCCUGCCUGCUGGUCUGAUGUCUGCCGCUCUCAUGUUGCUUGGUCAGCUGGUUUGGUGUCUGCGGCUCACAUGGUGCUCAGCCGGCUGGUAUGGGGUUUGCCAUUCACAUGGUGCUCAGCCAGCUGGUAUGGGGUCUACCACUCGCAUGGAGCUCAGC